rnacentral:rRNA from 1 species
UACGUAGGGUGCAAGCGUUAAUCGGAAUUACUGGGCGUAAAGCGUGCGCAGGCGGUUGUGCAAGACAGAUGUGAAAUCCCCGGGCUUAACCUGGGAACUGCAUUUGUGACUGCACGGCUAGAGUGUGUCAGAGGGGGGUAGAAUUCCACGUGUAGCAGUGAAAUGCGUAGAUAUGUGGAGGAAUACCGAUGGCGAAGGCAGCCCCCUGGGAUAACACCGACGCUCAUGCACGAAAGCGUGGGGAGCAAACAGG